rnacentral:antisense_RNA from 1 species
CUUGAUGCUGCCCAGCCACAACGGCCGCUCGGGGUCGUGGUGGCGGCCGUAGGUGGCCAGCAGCGCCUGGGCCUC